CACCGGAAUGAUAACUGGAUGGUCUGUCGGUUCAAAUUUAGUCCCUUACUGUCUUUUAAGUUUCCGGAAGAACGAAGAGGAAAUGAAUUCUUACACAAUCCCGAUAACCCCAUUAUCUGUGCAUUGUUUACUUUUCCACGACAUCU
rnacentral:snoRNA from 1 species